GCUUACGGCCACACCGCCUGGUUCACGCGAUCUCGUUUGAUCUCGGAAGAUAAGAUAGGGUGGGCCUGGUUAGUACUUGGAUGGGAGACCGCCUGGGAAUACCAGGUGCUGUAAGCU
ensembl:rRNA 5S_rRNA 5S ribosomal RNA